rnacentral:rRNA from 1 species
CGCACGAGCGCACCCUUAUCCUUAGUUGCCAGCACGUAAUGGUGGGAACUCUAAGGAGACUGCCGGUGACAAACCGGAGGAAGGUGGGGACGACGUCAAGUCAUCAUGGCCCUUACGAGAUGGGCUACACACGUGCUACAAUGGCAAGUACAAAGGGUUGCAAACUCGCGAGAGUAAGCGGAUCCCAUAAAGCUUGUCGUAGUCCGGAUUGGAGUCUGCAACUCGACUCCAUGAAGUCGGAAUCGCUAGUAAUCGUGGAUCAGAAUGCCACGGUGAAUACGUUCCCGGGCCUUGUACACACCGCCCGUCACACCAUGGGAGUGGGCUGCGAAGAAGUGGAUAGCUUAACCUUCGGGAGGGCGUUCACCACUUUGUGGUUCAUGACUGGGGCGAAGUCGUAACAAGGUAGCCGUAGGGGAACCUGCGGCUGGAUCACCUCCUU